CAACUCUAGGAUUGACAAAUACAAAUUUCUCACAGCUUCGUUCUUCAUUCCGUUAUAAUUUUCAAUCAGUCUUUCUCUUUUCUCGACUAAAAAAAAAUUCGUCAGUGUUUCUCGACACUUGUUUCAUCGCCAGGUGUGGGUCGUGGUGAGUUAAAGCUAAUUUCAUGCAUCGGUCAUAUUGGACCAAGUCAAAAGAAGGCGGUGCAAAAAUUCAACCAAAGGCCGAAUUCCACGAAAUACCAAUGUCAACUUCAGGGUGAGUAACAGAUUUGGUUACUGGAUUGUUGCCAAAACCUUCUUGGCUGAUCAGUUGGCUGCAAUAUGCAUCACCUAAACAGUGAAAAUGACAAAGUUCAGGUAGAACAAGCUGUGCCGCCAACAAGUUCAUCCAGCAAUGGUAACCAUUCCCAUCAAGAAGGAGUUGAGAGAGUCCUUUAUACUUUGUGAUGACCCGGGGACAUCCAAAGAACAAAAGAAACAUCAGAACUCAUCCGAAUCAUAAAUGUCCCUGCUGUGGACUUAUUUCCAGAGCCAGAAGUUCUUUAAUCUAGUUCAAGAAGAGAAAUAGUAAAAAAAAAAAUGGUUUGUUUUAGAUGUGAAUAACAAAGGAAAAUUCCAAUUUUGGAGUCUAGUUAAAUUAAUUCUUUCAGAGAAAUGGUCUUGUUGAAACAUAGACAGAGGGGCUGUUAGAAUGUGAGCAAAGGAAUCUGGAAGAGAAAAUCCAAUUCGAAAAAGGGCAAAAGGGGCAACGUACUGAAAGGGGAUAUUAGAGCGCGAGAAAUUUUAAUUCAACGAGUUGGAGCGAUUUAAACGACAGCAGUGGAUCGAGAAGGAGAAGAUCAAGGCAGAGAGAGUCGACAAACAAGUCUUAGACUACUAUUUCAUUGUUUCGGAAAUCCUCCCACGGUAUCCUUCCGUGUUUAGCAAAUGAGUCCUGACCACGUUUCCGGAUCCACAAGAUUGGGUUUCAGCUAGACUUUAUAGUUCUGUUCGUACCACGUCAUGUCCACGGUGGGAUCCAACGUUGGCUUAGGUGAUCGUGGCGAAAACAUUCUUUUUGAUGCAGUGUGUGGCGAUGCAGUCCACGUUGCUUGUUUAACAAAGGUCUUUCAUUUGAAUGGCCCGAACAAGGUCCUUUUCGUUUUAUUCAUUAUAUGAUACAAGCCAUGAGAGAUAUUGGAAUCGAAGGGUCACUCAGAAAGUGCUGCGAAGUGACGCUACGCGUAAUUAGACAAGAGGUUGACACCCUUAAUUCUUAGUUUGCUGAAGCCGUUUGUUCAUGAUCCACUUGUAGAAUGAUCAAAGAAAACAGUGAACAAAGGACGCUUCGAUCUUCCGGAGAUUAAAAAAGA